rnacentral:rRNA from 1 species
CAAAGAUUAAGCCAUGCAUGUCUAAGUAAAAGCAAAUUUUUACAGCGAAACUGCGAAUGGCUCAUUAAAUCAGUUAUGAUCUACAUGACAAAUACUUUACUACUGGAUAACCGUGGUAAUUCUAGAGCUAAUACAUGCAGAAAAGACCCGACUUCGGAAGGGUUGCACUUAUUAGAUCAAAACCUCCCUGGGUAAAACCAGUUCUUUGGUGAUUCAUAAUAAUUUAGCUGAUCGCAUGGCCUUGCGCCGGCGACGGUACAUUCGAUUUUCUGCCCUAUCAGGCUGUUGAUUGUAAGAUAGAGGCUUACAAUGGCUACCACGGGUAACGGGGAAUUAGGGUUCGAUUCCGGAGAGGGAGCCUGAGAAACGGCUACCACAUCCAAGGAAGGCAGCAGGCGCGCAAAUUACCCAAUCCCAAUUCGGGGAGGUAGUGACAAUAAAUAACAAUGCUGGGCCUUUUGGCCUAGCAAUUGGAAUGAGUACAAUUUAAAUCCCUUAACGAGGAUCAAUUGGAGGGCAAGUCUGGUGCCAGCAGCCGCGGUAAUUCCAGCUCCAAAAGCGUAUAUUAAAGUUGUUGCAGUUAAAACGUCCGUAGUCGAAUUUACACCUGGUACUUGGGCCGCCGGUUCUUCAUUGAGCUGGAUUGGUCUCAGGUCCGGUGAUAAAGUCUGGUCUACAGCUUGGUUGGCUUCGGUCGGCUGAGUUCCCUGGCCAGGCGUAUUACCAUGAGCAAAUCAGAAUGCUCAAAGUAGGCCUUCGCGCCUGAAUGUAUUAGCAUGGAAUAAUAAAAUAGGACUCGAGUCUUGUUUUGUUGGUUUACUUGACAUUGAGAAAUGAUGAAUAGGAACGGUUGGGGGCAUUUGUAUUUGGCCGCUAGAGGUGAAAUUCUUGGAUUGGCCGAAGGCAAACUACUGCGAAAGCAUUUGACCCAGGACGUUUUCAUUGAUCAGGGACUAAAGUUGAGGGAUCGAAGACGAUUAGAUACCGUCGUAGUCUUAACCACAAACUAUGCCGACUAGCGAUUGGGCCUUGACCUUUGGUCAGGUUCAGCAGCUUAGCGAAAGUAAAGUCUUUGGGUUCUGGGGGGAGUAUGGGACGCAAGGCUGAAACUUAAAGGAAUUGACGGAAGGGCACCACCAGGAGUGGAGCCUGCGGCU